AUAUUGAGAGCGACGGGCAAUAUGUACAUAUUUUAAAACAUUAAUCAUAUAAAAUAAUUUUUUUAUAUUACUUUUAAAUCCAAUUUCAAAAAAAUAUUCCAAUUUUAAAUCCAUAAUUUUUAAAAAAUGUAACUCAUAAAAUCUUAAAUAUAAACUGCAUUUUGAUUUGAAAUAAAUUUAAAAAUAAAUUUUUAAAUAUUCAUAUUCUUAAAAAAUAUUUUUAUAACAACAAUAAACAAAUUUAAAAUUUAAGUAAAAUACAUUGUGGAUUAUCUAUUAUAAUACAAGUUCCUCUAAAUUGAUUAAAAUACUGCCAAUUUCUUUAAAUUUUAUUUUAUAAAUUUUAAAUA
rnacentral:rRNA from 1 species